rnacentral:lncRNA from 1 species
UGGCCCUCCAGGGGGCAGAAAGCUUCCACCAAGGGCCAGAGCACAGUGUCACACCAAGGGAAGCUCAGAUUGGGGAGCCUGUGGGACCUUGUGAUGACCUACUCCAAGCUCCAGACUUUGUAGAGAAGGAAACUGAGGCCCUGGACCAUGUUCUCCCCUUCCUGUCUUUUGGGGCUUUAUUUGGUUUGUGUUUGGGGCUGUACUGGGUUAGAGCUCAGGGCCUCCACCAUGCCAGCAACGCUAGACCACUGAGAUACCCCAGAGCCACUCUGUUGCCCCGUGUGAUGGUCCAGAUUCAGCAGAUCCCUGGGGCGGGUAAAGUGGAAGGGCAACAAUUAAAAGGGCUAAAUGGAUCCAGUCAAGGCCAAACGCCUUAAGAGAAUGGACCGCCAGACUUCCUAUUUCCAAUCACCCUCCAUUUUUUCUUUGUAUACCUUUUGGUCUCAUUGUCAUUGUACCCGUUGGUCUUGCCAUCUUUCCUAGACAUACCCGUUUAGAGUGGAAAUGCCCCCUGGCAGUGAGUUUUCCCUCUCUUAACAGUUUGCAUAGCCAUCCUGUGGUCAGGAGCACUUGGUCGGCCACUUUCAGCUUGAUCGAAGAUUAUUUUCUCUCCGGGUCUUGAUUAAAAUCAAGUCAUCAGGCUGGAAGUGAUGAAUGCAAAUUCUAGAAUGAGAACCUGUGCAAUGGUUUAUAAUAAUCAUACCACCAAAAAAAAAUAUAUAGAUAGGUCACUUUUGGGGACUUAUGAGAAGCCCCUUAGCUUCUCUAGUGUCAUCUGCCAGGGUGGGUCAGAGUCUUGCUGACCAUAUGCAGCUUCCCUUGGAAGCAUCAGGGACAUUUCAUCCAGUGUGCUA